UUUAACCGUAUUCGAAUAAGUUUAAUUGAAUCAUUUCUCAUUUGUUUCGCGGAAGAAGCCCAUGCCAUUGACCUAAUAAAAGUCAAUGAAAAGAAACAACAACAAUAUGAAUAAUGAUCCUGCAGUGAAUAAUUCCACUAAGACUAAAAAAAAGAAAAACAUAGAUUAUAUCAAGAACAUUACAGGAGGUAACAAUGCUUCUUCAUCUGCUCCGACAGGAAUGCCACAAC